rnacentral:lncRNA from 1 species
UGCCUUAGCUUAGCUUGUGUUUGGUUCAUGUGUUCGCCUAAGAUUAGGCUUGACUUUAAAAAGUGUGGCACCUGUUUGGAUUGUUGCCACGCCUAAACUUAGGCAUACAUGUCAAUGUGUGGCAGCUGUUUGGUUGUUCACCAAACUCCAUUCACGCCACAUAAACUAAACAGGUGCAUCACAUGAACACAUAUUCAAGAAUAUAAGAAUCUUACACCACUUUAAUCACAUGCGCAUGAUAAGCUAAUAAUCAGUUCAUAAUAGCUCCACAACAUGUUCAUUACAGGUGAUUAAUAGGUCUAAAAUAGAUUCAAAACAGUCUGAGGUAGUUGCUAUUACACACAUACACACACACAUUCAGCUAUGAGCAGCACCAUCCAUCUCCUUAAGCCUUAUUGAUCAACUUCGAAGACGUGCAAAAGAAUCAGGCAUCACCACCGCCAUAUACAUCACCUGGCCACUGAGCAAAAUAACAGGCAACCACCUAAGGAAUUCACAGCAAAACAGCCAGCCAACAACACCACCCUUCCAUCCACAAAAGAGUACCUAGUUGAGCCUAAAACAAGUGCAAAACAUAUCAGCUAAGUACAAGUUGAAACAAUAAAACUAAUGAUAUGUGAAUCACCUAAUCACUUCACAGUAGUGUUGAAUCACUCAAAAACUUGAAUACCCGUGACUGAAAAUGUUGUUUCAGCUGAAGCGGAUAAGAAACCACGCAUGCCCUUUUGAUCCUUUGAUGCUAGAAAUGUCCCAACUAUCAGUUUUUUAUCAGUAGUCAAUGUCAUUUUUUCAAGCCUUUGCCAUAAUUCGGCAUCAGAGUUCAAAGAAGCUAUAACAGGUGGAGGUGGUUGUUGUUUAAGUUCGUUUCGGAGAUCCAUCAAAGUAGUGUUGAUUUCAUCUCCUAUCUUUGCCAUGCGACUCUGUGGUCUCACAUCUCUCUUGACUGGUAUGGCAUCUCCUCUUGGACGCUUGAUUCCAGAGCUAGAUGAGCUCUGCUCGAUAACUUGAGAUGGAAUUUUAGGAGAUGGUAAAGUGUCAGAGUCAUCACCUAGGUCAUCCUCAGGUUGACCAUGGUUGGAGACAUCAUUGCAUAUGUCAUCAUCAUUAUCAUUAUCAUUAUCAUCGACAUGUUAAAGGUUGAUAUAAGGAUGGACUCCAGUUAUAUAUAUGUUACCUCAAAGUAUGGAUGAAACCUUCCCGGGCUAUUAGAUAUCUUUGGAUGUGUCUUCGUGGUUCUCAUGGUAAUGAGGUCACGUGAUAGGACACAUAAAGCAUCUAAAACAGCGUUAAAGUACCUACUAACUGUCUCUCCAGACCGCAAGAAUUCAAAACCAACAGAUCUAUUUGUCCAUCUAUGGCCAACAAAUUUCAUAAACAUGGCUACCUGUACUUCAAUUGAGACAUUGAUAGAGUCCACUAAAAUCCCAUGGGUCCUUAAAUGACCACAUAACCUGUGAAAAACAAAUUUGCGCAUACUCAACUCACUAAUACAGUUGGCUUCGGUCCCAUGGUACAAACGGUCCAGCCGCCUUUUCCUUUCCAAAUCUCUUUGUAACAAAGAACCAUAUUUGGUGUGCUUCUUAUUCAAUCUAUUCAGUUGCAACUUAUACCACAAUAAAACAAUGUGGAUGGUAAUGAAAACAAGCACCCUUGUCCUUUGUAGGUAAUGAUUAUAGUUAUUGCAAUACUCAAGAUACAUCUUCUUUGAACCCAUCUAAAAAUGCAAGGUAAUUAAAAUGUACACUCGACAGACUAAUGGAUUUAGGAAUUGUUUGAACCAAUCUAGAAAAAUGCAAUCUAAGUGCUUGUGCUCACGUACCUUGAGCAGUAGCAAACAAGGGUUUCCUGGUGUCCUCAGCUUGCAACAAGUCCCUGAAAAAGAUGAAGAAAAUAUUAAUGAUGGUCUCAUACUAAAUAUGCUAUACUGUAACUAGAAAUCUAUUGUAGCAAGGUAAAAAUCAUGUUGUCUACAUGGUUAUUAAAACGUCGUUUAAACGACGUUUAAGCGUCGUUUAAAUGCUAAAACGCGUUUAAUAGCUAGAACGUCCAAACGUUUUACAGAUACUGCGUAGAACGUCCAUUCUGGACGUUUCAACGGCGUUUAAACGUCGGAAAGCACGUUCUGGACGUUUAAUACGUUUUAGGGACGUUCUAUGCGCAUACCGUUCGUGGGCCUUAAUGGGCCUGCGCCCAGCCGCUCAACGCCAUCGCGCCCGGCCACCUGCGCCCAGCCGCCAGAGGACAUCGCGCCCAGCCGCCAGACGACCAGACGCGUCGCGCCCAGCCGCCAGACGCCAUCGUGCCCAGAGCCGCCAGCCGCCAGAGCCAGGUACGCCGCCGGCCCCUCCUCCCUCCUCCCUCUUCCCUCCACCUACAGGCUCCAACCCGGUAGAGCCGCCAGAGCCAGGUGCGCCAUUGCUCCUGGUCCCGAGCUCCAGGCGCCAUUGCUCGUUGCUCCAGGUCCCGGUUCCCAGACCCAGUCCCAGUGCAGUGCUCCAUACCCAGUCCUACUGCAGCGCCAUACCCAGUCCUACUGCAGCGCCAUACCCAGUGUUCCAGUGGCAAUACCCAGUGUUCCAGUGGCCAGUGCAGUGCAGUGAAGCAGCCACCAGCAGUGCGUAGUGAGCCAAUGCUCCAGCUACUGUGUGACUGUGUGUUGCAAGCUAAAUGUAUAAUAUAUUAAUAUCAUUCUGCUGUGUGUUGUAGGCUAAAGUGUGGCAGUGAAUUUCAAUUUCAAUGGCAACAAAUAGCGAGGCUAAUGACUCCUAUGACCCACUCAAAGAUCAGUCACGAAGGCCAAAGUCAAAUGAUCCAGGAUGGAAAUAUGCAUACUAUGUUGAGGCGGGAAAGCGAGAGCUGAUUCAAUGUGCUUUGUGCCCCAAACAAAUAAAAGGAGGUAUCAAGAGGGUGAAACAACAUCUAGCUGGUGGCUAUGGAGAGAUUGUCAAGUGUCCUAACACUACUAGAGAGAUUGCUAAAGAGAUGAAUGAAGCUUUGAAUAAUGGGAAGCGGGCUAGGCCGUUGUACCUAGAUGACGAUGUAAUGGAAGAUGAAGCAGAACAAGAAGAUGAUGUCCAAGUUAUGGGAAGCAGGUCAAUGUCAGCAUCAUCCAAGGCUUCCUCGUGUACUGUGCCAAGUUCUGGAACAGCUGCCAAAAGAAACAAAGCAAUUUUCCAAUUGAAGCCCCACCCAAUAGCAGCUCCAAAGAAGUCCAUUGCAUCUAUGAUUCGACGUACACUUCAAGAGGUUGUAGCAGAGAGACAUGCAAAGGGACCUGCUCAAACUACCAUAAGUGCUACCAUGAAGCCUAAGGAAGAAAGAAAUUCUAUUUGUUUGGAGAUAGCCAAGUUUUUCUAUGAGUGUGGUAUACCAUUCAAUGCUGCGAACUCAAGGCAAUUUGAGGUAGCUGUGGAGGCUAUUGCUCAAUAUGGAUCUGGGUUCAAGCCUCCUACUUUCCAUGAGCUACGUGAGCCUUUACUUGCUAGGGCUGUCAAAGACAUAGAUGAUGAGAGGAAGAAGCAUGAGGAUGCAUGGAGCCAGUAUGGUUGCACACUCAUGUCUGAUGGUUGGACAGACAAAAGAGGUCGCCAUUUGAUCAAUUUCCUUGUUAACAGCCCUCAAGGAACAUUCUUCUUGGAGUCAGUUGAUGCAUCAAAUGAGUGAUACAGUGCAGUGAUGCUUGCAGACUUGUUAGAAAAGAGAAUUGAGGGGAUUGGUAAGCAAAACGUUACUCAGAUUGUCACUGAUAAUGGUGCUAAUUAUAAGGCAGCAUGUAAGAUUUUGAUGGAGAGGAUUCCUACAUUGUUCUGGACUCCUUGUGCGGCACAUUGCUUGGACCUUAUGUUGGAGGACAUAGGAAAGCUGAAGGAUUUUAAGAAGCCUAUUGCUCGUGCUCGUCAUGUCACCACUUUUAUUUAUAGACAUGGGAGGAUACUUAGUGAAAUGAGGGUGCAUACAAAUGGGAUGGAUCUUGUGAGACCUGCUGCUACUAGAUUUGCUACUGCCUUCCUUACCAUGAAGAGUUUGCACAAGCACAAGAACUCAUUGAAAGGUCUAUUUUCAAGUGAUGUUUUCACUCAAUCCAAGGUAUCCAAAACAGAGGCAGGUAAAAAAGCAUAUGACAUCGUUUUCUCUCAAGAAUUUUGGAAUUCAAUUGAGGAUUGUCUUAGAGCUUCUUUACCGCUUCUUGUCGUGCUGAGAUUGGUUGAUGGUGAUGAGAAGACAGCCAUGGCUGAGGUUGCUGCAGCCAUGACUAUAGCAAAGAAUAAGAUUACCUCCUCAUUUUCUACUCAAAACAAGAAAGCAUGUCUGAAACGUAUCAUGAGCAUUGUGGAUCGACGUUGGGCGAACCAAAUGGAUACCCCAUUAUAUGGAGCAGCACUAUAUUUGAACCCUGGAAAAUUCUACAAUAUCAAAGCAGGUGUUGAUGAAGGCUAUGUUGGAGAGCUAAGGGGUUGCUUUAAUGAUGUGCUUGUCAAAAUGGUGGUAGAUGAGGAUCUUAGAGAGAAGAUUGAUGCCCAAGCUGUUCUUUAUGAGAACCAAAGAGAGGCAUUUGCAAAUCCAAUGGCUAUAAAAAAUGCACAAACAAGGAAUCCACGUAAGUAUUCUAAAAUUGAUAGCCUCCCAUUCAUUUUCAGCACUAAACAUAUAAUCUUUGUUCUUGCCAUUUUAGUUGAUUGGUGGCUUGCAUAUGGUGGUCGUACCAUUGAACUAUAUAAGUUUGCAAGACGGAUUGUUAGUCUUUGUGCUUCAUCAUCCGGUUGUGAGCGGAAUUGGAGUACAUUUGAAUUUGUAAGUGAGCUAGUCAAAUUAUUCAAUUUCGUUUCGCCACUACGUUUAUCCUUAGUUCUUCAUUGGUUAAAUGGUUGCUUCUAUUUGCACUUGUAGAUGCAUACCAAAAAGAGGAAUAGGUUGGAGCACAAAAGGUUGAAUGACUUGGUAUAUGUUUCAUACAACAAAAAGAUGGCUGAUAGGUUUCAAAAAAUACGCGAGGAAGGAAAAAACUUUGAUCCUUUGAUUUUAGAAGACUUUGAUUGGGACAAUGAAUGGGUUGAUCCAUUAGCUAAUUCUUCUCAUGUUAGCAAUGCUCUUGGAGAUGAUUUCAAUUUAUCGUGGGACCAAGUUGAUGAAGCUAUUGGUGCAUCUGCACAUCUCAGAGGUCGUAAUUUUCCUAGGAGAGCUGCUGGUGGGUGUGUGAGAAGGAAUGAAGACCUUGAGGAAGAGGAAACUAAUUUAGCAAAUGAAGAUGACGAGGAUGAGGAAUAUAUUCUUGAUGAUCUUGAUGUGGAAGAUGAAAUUGAAGGAAGCAAUAGUGGAAACGAUGGUGAUGAUCAAGGCGUGGAUGCUCAUGGUCUUAAUACUGAUGAGUUCGAUGAUGGUUACUAAUCAUGCAUGAAAGUUGUAACUUGUGUUGUGUGGUUGAACUUGUGUUGUUGAACUUGAUCUGUUUCUUUUUAUGCUAAUGCUAUUUGGUUUGUGAACUCAACUUAUGUAUAAACUUAUUCUAUAUUUGAAAUUCUAUGUCAAGUCUGAAAAGACGUUUCAACGUUCGUUUAAACGUUUAAACGUUGAAAAGUUGGUUCAUAACGUUUUAACGUUUUACCGUUUUAAUAACCAUGGUUGUCUAGCUGUAGCAAUUGAAAUAAAAGCAAAUCUAAAAUAGUACUCGAUUUAUCAAAUGCCAAAUACCGAUGUGUGGUCGGACUACCACUAACAGCCAUGUGGCCGGACUACCUAAGCUCAUGGCAACCGACCAGAUCUAGCACAAACAGCCAUGGCAACCGGCCAUAUCUAGGACAAAUCUAGGACAAGGCGUCAGAAGACAACUACGACGAGAAGGCACUACGGCGCUCGAUCACUCUGCUGAGUUGAUUCGCCACACGGUCUGAUGCUAGCGCCAGCAACCAUCGACCAGGCGAGGCCGCAAUAGGAGAUGAACUAAAGGACGAAACAUAGGCGAGGAGGCAUCAUGCAGAUUGGGAAUGAGCUCACCUUCUGAUGGCGGUCGACGGCCAGCAGCAGAUCCAGUGGUCCAAGCGUCAGAGUUGCGGUGGAGGUGCUAGGGCCGGCGCUGGCACUCUGGAGAAGUGUGGCGGGUCUCAGGUUUGUGGCGGCCGAAUCGGCAGCCUCAAGUGCGACGAAAAGUUAUGUGGUGAAAGAAGAUAAG